UACAGGGGGUGCAAGCGUUGUCCGGAAUUAUUGGGCGUAAAGCGCGCGCAGGCGGACCUUUAAGUCUGAUGUGAAAGCCCACGGCUCAACCGUGGAGGGUCAUUGGAAACUGGGGGACUUGAGUGCAGGAGAGAAGAGUGGAAUUCCACGUGUAGCGGUGAAAUGCGUAGAGAUGUGGAGGAACACCAGUGGCGAAGGCGACUCUUUGGCCUGUAACUGACGCUGAGGCGCGAAAGCGUGGGGAGCAAACAGG
rnacentral:rRNA from 1 species